GCAAGUCGAACGGUAACAUUUCUAGCUUGCUAGAAGAUGACGAGUGGCGGACGGGUGAGUAAUACUUGGGGAUGUGCCUUUGUGUGGGGGAUAACCAUUGGAAACGAUGGCUAAUACCGCAUAAAGUGCUUCUUGUAAUGAGAAGUACCAAAGGGGGGAACUUGUUCCUCUCGCGCAAAGAGCAACCCAAGCGAGAUUAGCUAGUUGGUGAGGUAAAGGCUCACCAAGGCGACGAUCUCUAGCUGUUCUGAGAGGAAGAUC
rnacentral:rRNA from 1 species